GAUGAACGCUGGCGGCGUGCCUAAUACAUGCAAGUCGAGCGAAUGGAUUAAGAGCUUGCUCUUAUGAAGUUAGCGGCGGACGGGUGAGUAACACGUGGGUAACCUGCCCAUAAGACUGGGAUAACUCCGGGAAACCGGGGCUAAUACCGGAUAACAUUUUGAACUACAUGGUUCAAAAUUGAAAGGCGGCUUCGGCUGUCACUUAUGGAUGGACCCGCGUCGCAUUAGCUAGUUGGUGAGGUAACGGCUCACCAAGGCAACGAUGCGUAGCCGACCUGAGAGGGUGAUCGGCCACACUGGGACUGAGACACGGCCCAGACGCCUACGGGAGGCAGCAGUAGGGAAUCUUCCGCAAUGGACGAAAGUCUGACGGAGCAACGCCGCGUGAGUGAUGAAGGCUUUCGGGUCGUAAAACUCUGUUGUUAGGGAAGAACAAGUGCUAGUUGAAUAAGCUGGCACCUUGACGGUACCUAACCAGAAAGCCACGGCUAACUACGUGCCAGCAGCCGCCGUAA
rnacentral:rRNA from 1 species